rnacentral:rRNA from 1 species
UGCCAGCAGCCGCGGUAAUACGUAGGGGGCGAGCGUUGUCCGGAAUUAUUGGGCGUAAAGAGCUCGUAGGCGGUCUGGUAAGUCGAAUGUGAAAACUCAGGGCUUAACCCUGAGAGGCCAUCCGAUACUGCCAUGACUUGAGUCCGGUAGAGGAGUGUGGAAUUUCUGGUGUAGCGGUGAAAUGCGCAGAUAUCAGAAGGAACACCAACGGCGAAGGCAGCACUCUGGGCCGGUACUGACGCUGAGGAGCGAAAGCGUGGGGAGCAAACAGGAUUAGAUA